rnacentral:rRNA from 1 species
GACGAACGCUGGCGGCGUGCUUAACACAUGCAAGUCGAACGGAACGGCCUGCUUUCCCUUGUGGAUUGCGGGUACUCGAGUGGCGAACGGGUGAGUAACACGUGAGUGAUCUGCCCCCAACUUGGGUAUAAGCCUGGGAAACUGGGUCUAAUUCCCGAUAGGACUGCAGGGUGGUGCCUGUGGUGGAAAACGAUUUUCUAGUGGUUGGGGAUGAGCUCGCGGCCUAUCAGCUUGUUGGUGGGGUAAUGGCCUACCAAGGCGGCGACGGGUAGCCGGCCUGAGAGGGUGGACGGCCACAUUGGGACUGAGAUACGGCCCAGACUCCUACGGGAGGCAGCAGUGGGGAAUAUUGCACAAUGGGCGGAAGCCUGAUGCAGCGACGCCGCGUGGGGGAUGACGGCCUUCGGGUUGUAAACUCCUUUCGACCGCGAGGAAGCCACCUGGUUGGAAGGGUGGUGACGGUAGUGGUAGAAGAAGCACCGGCUAACUACGUG